GGCGAAUGUGACUUGUAUCGAUUGGAGGAAACAAUUCAGCAUCGAAGGAAUAACGACUGAAAUAUUGGAGUGUCAAAAUGACAAAACGAAAACCUGCAAAACGAUGGAGAAGAACCGGUAAAGAAGUCGACUCAAAUAAACGAUCAAGAAGGACUGUACAAUUGCCACCAAUGUGAAUGUGGAGACUGAUGAGCAAUGUCUAAAAGGUAGCAGCAGGGGAACAGAAGGAGCCCAAAACACUGCUCUUCAUAUAGAACACAUCCAACCUCCAGGUGUCCAUGCAGGAUGUACCACUCUGGAACAUCAAACCUCUCCCUACCCGCCAGCACAUGAAAAUAUUUCUACUUUUGACUCUAUCAAAGACAAUGGAAAACCAUUUUCCAGAUCAGCCCUCAUAGAUCCUCCUGAUGGCCUAACAACUGAACUACAUGUCGAUGCUGAGUAUGAUCCAUCUCAAUCAUUUGAGGAAUCUCUCCCUGAUAUGGGGGAUUGGAUGUACAAUGACGGACAUAUGUUUAAUGAAGGAUUUGAAGAUAGUUUGAGUGAGGAGUGUGCAGAAGAGUCAAAUAUCAAGGACACAACAGACAAACCAUUAUAUGACAAUGCAUCAGUAACCGUGGCAGAGUGCCUUCUGAUCAUCAGGGCUUAUGAAAACUGUCAUAAAGUCACUGAUAAGGCCCUAUAAGCGAUUUGCUGAAAAUGUUCAAGUUGCUUUGUCCCGAUAGUCUGAAUGCAGACUGCUUAAACAGUGUGCAGAAGUUCAAAAACUUUCUUUUAUCCUGCUCUGCAUCAUCGCCUAUUUUAUUACAUAAAUACUGCAGUAAUUGUUUUGGGCAAUUAGAAAGUAAACAAAUAAAAUGUCUGUCUUGUGGGACCAGUGUGUCAGAAGAAAGAUCUUCAUCCUUUAUAGAGGUUCCAAUUAAGGCUCACAUAAGGUCAUUGUUCCUCAAGCCAGGUUUUCAGGAGAAGCUUAACUUCAGAUUAAGCAGAAAGAAGGCAGAUGCUAACAACAUUGAAGAUAUAUAUGAUGCAGAAGUUUACAAACAGCUUGUCGAUAGGGGUGGUCCUCUUAGUGACCCUAAAAACAUCUCACUUGGAACACCGAUGAAGACAAAAAUUGAUAUUUGUUAAG